rnacentral:rRNA from 1 species
CGCCUCCUGCAAACAACGACGUAUAGGAGGUCUUGCCUGCCCAGUGACAAUGUUAAACGGCCGCGGUAUUUUGACCGUGCGAAGGUAGCGCAAUCACUUGUCUUUUAAAUGAAGACCUGUAUGAAUGGUGAAACGAGGGCUUAACUGUCUCCCUUUUCUAGUCAAUGAAAUUGAUCUGCCCGUGCAGAAGCGGACAUAAAAAUACAAGACGAGAAGACCCUUUGGAGCUUAAGAUAUAAAGAUCAUCUAUGUCAAUGGGCCCCAACACGGCAACAAACUAAAUAGCAACUGAUCUUAAUCUUCGGUUGGGGCGACCACGGGAGAAAAUAAAGCUCCCACGCGGACUGGGGUAAACCCUAAAACCAAGAAAAACAUUUCUAAGAAACAGAACUUCUGACCAUUAAGAUCCGGCUACACGCCGACCAACGGACCAAGUUACCCUAGGGAUAACAGCGCAAUCCCCUUUCAGAGUCCAUAUCGACAAGGGGGUUUACGACCUCGAUGUUGGAUCAGGACAUCCUAAUGGUGCAGCCGCUAUUAAGGGUUCGUUUGUUCAACGAUUAAAGUCCU